rnacentral:rRNA from 1 species
GAUGAACGCUGGCGGCGUGCCUAAUACAUGCAAGUCGAGCGAACAGACGAGGAGCUUGCUCCUCUGACGUUAGCGGCGGACGGGUGAGUAACACGUGGAUAACCUACCUAUAAGACUGGGAUAACUUCGGGAAACCGGAGCUAAUACCGGAUAAUAUAUUGAACCGCAUGGUUCAAUAGUGAAAGACGGUUUUGCUGUCACUUAUAGAUGGAUCCGCGCCGCAUUAGCUAGUUGGUAAGGUAACGGCUUACCAAGGCAGCGAUGCGUAGCCGACCUGAGAGGGUGAUCGGCCACACUGGAACUGAGACACGGUCCAGACUCCUACGGGAGGCAGCAGUAGGGAAUCUUACGCAAUGGGCGAAAGCCUGACGGAGCAACGCCGCGUGAGUGAUGAAGGUCUUCGGAUCGUAAAACUCUGUUAUUAGGGAAGAACAAAUGUGUAAGUAACUAUGCACGUCUUGACGGUACCUAAUCAGAAAGCCACGGCUAACUACGUG